AAGUGAGACAGUGCAGAGUUUGGACUUGUCACGGGGACUUGACGUACGGAAGUGAGAUAACCUUAAAAUGGGGACUGACGCACGGAUCAAAGCCUAGGAUGACGGAUCCCGACAACAAUCUUCAUUCGAGGACCAUCGAUAAUCAGAUAGUUAAAAAGCGACCCUCAUUUAGGUCCGCCGUUGAAGAACAAGGUGCUGCCGAGAUGGACACUCACCUGGGAAGCAGGUGGACGCUUCCGACCAAAGAGGACGAUUGGAAAAUCAGUUGGUAUGACGAAGUAUGACGAGCUGUGUAAUUUUUCCAACUGCAUUGGUGCAACAGUGGGACUGAAUUUUUACAAUUACAAGCAUUUCUUCUGCACAGUAUUAAUAGCUCUAGCAGAUACUAAGUAUGGUUUAUAUUCACUGAUUUUGACUGUCAAGGGAGACUAAUUGAUGACUAUCUAAAUACCGAACUGUAUCGGAAAAUUAUGAUACCAUCUUCAGAGCGAGAAAAACCAAUGGCAUGACGCAUUUCCUUUCAAUAAUCGAAUCAUAAAUCGAAUCGAAAUAUGUCAAACUCUUUCCAAACUAUUUCAUAUCUUUAAAAUUAGCAUGCUAUUCAAGAGGAACCUAGA